AGUCACGCGAGGCUGGCUUGCUGGAACCGGCUAGAAAAUGCAGCCCUGCCUGCCGCAGGGAUCUCCUCCGGUAUGGCCACACAUAUGAGUUCUGGCAAUGCCCAUUAGUGAUAUGGCCGAUAGUUUCUUCUGUCUUGCUUCCAGGAACCUUUUCUUGGUUUGAAGCCACCGAACCAGAAGAGAGAAUUUUUACCACUUUGAGGACUUCUUGUGACGAAUCCAAUGGGAAUUCCAUAAUAUUCAGAAACAAAACAUUUUGAGGGCCAACAAAUUAUUAAGCCCUUUGCUAGGUCUUAGAGAUACAAAGAUAAAGAAGACUGGAGUUUUCUUUUUAUUAUCUACCAGACUGAAGGCCACUGCCUGGGGACUUGAUCUAAGAGAAGAAAUAUCAGGAGACCUGGGUUUGGCUCCUGGCUCUGCCAGGUGAUCAUGGAGCAGUCACGUAUUAUCCCUGAGCUUCCGUUUCCUCAUCUACUUAAUUAGUGAUGGGUCUACAGGGCCUUGCUGGGGUCCACUUCUGACAUUCUGUGUUGCAUGGACCAUGUCAGAGAAGAUGGAGACACCUUCACGGCCUGUUAGUCACAUCUCACCAAAGCUUCUCAAUGGGCUGUCAGACAAGAAAGGAGCCUCCUGUAGCCAUCUUAAUCAGCAUCCCCCAUCUGUGAGGUCAUCGGGAUAUUUCAAACAAUCUUCAGCUCUCAUUAGUUGAGUGCGUUUCACAGAUAGUUGUCCGGAAAAGGAAGAGGAUGACACUGAUGACCAGCCGUCUUGGGUGGUUCACAGGCUCACUAAGGAGGCAGUGUUGAGCCUGACGGAUCUGUGAAGGCCCCUCCGACUUGUAACUGUAAAAUGAUGACUCUUGAUGGAACUCUACAGUUGUUGACACCUGGUGGGCCACCUACAGCUGAAGGUUCAAAGUGAUAAAACAAACCUGGUACGGAAAUAACUGAUUGUGGAACGCGAAGGACCUGUGAUCAUGCAAAGGUGACAGAGCAGACACUGAUAGUAGAACUGUGGAGAAGUAUCCCUGGAGAUGACCCACAAUCUCAAGAAGGCUGAAGAGGAGAGGAAGAGAAUGGAUAAAUCGAAACAAGUGUUUAGAUGAUCAAGGCCUUAUAAGCCAUACCGCCAUGUAAGACGUGCCAUUC
rnacentral:lncRNA from 1 species